UUGGAGGGGUGUGUAAUGAACAUAUUGCUUGGGCCAAAGGCCCAAGUCUCUAACUCAAGAACCAAGGAAGCGCCUUCAGCCUUCAAUCAGAGGAAAUGAAAUGUUCACAUCAAAACACAGGAACUCACGGACGAAGCUGAACGAAGCACUUGCACAUCGACCACACACCAUUGCCAUCAACGCGUCUUUAAUGAGGAAACUAGGAUUUACUUCAAUCGGAUUCAAUAGUCGAGAGAAUCAAAGAAUAAACUUGAUUUCUUUUUCCACGACGAAACAAAAACACGAUGGAUCUGUGGUAUUUCAACACCAAAAACGAAUUCGAUUCGAUUGCACGUGAAGUGAAGAGAUUGAAGGAGGAGGAACCUAUCGGAUUUAUUGGAGACUCCAGGAAUAAUUUUCUUUGGGUUCAAAUUCAUUGUAGCCAUCCAUUACACUCGUGUUUCAUAUGCAUCAAUAGCAACAAGGUAUGAAGCAAAUUUAUACUAAAGGUCUACAGGCACAGAAGGAUUCUGAAGCACUUCCAGUGCUUUUUUGCUUCUCCUUGCUGAAUGUAAUGGUGAACUACAAUCUCAUUAUGCCCUUUUAAGCUAGCAAAAUAAACCAUUUCUUCAACUCUUCCAUAACUUUCUAAAAGUUUUAUUGUAGUUGUUUCAUCCAAUACAUCCUUGUGGUCACUGAGAAAAGCACGAAACUCUUUAAUAAUUGAUUGGUCUUCUGAA